rnacentral:rRNA from 1 species
AUUGAACGCUGGCGGCAGGCUUAACACAUGCAAGUCGAGCGGAGAUGAGGUGCUUGCGCCUUAUCUUAGAGGCGGACGGGUGAGUAAUGCUUAGGAAUCUGCCUAUUAGUGGGGGACAACAUUCCGAAAGGAAUGCUAAUACCGCAUACGUCCUACGGGAGAAAGCAGGGGAUCUUCGGACCUUGCGCUAAUAGAUGAGCCUAAGUCGGAUUAGCUAGUUGGUGGGGUAAAGGCCUACCAAGGCGACGAUCUGUAGCGGGUCUGAGAGGAUGAUCCGCCACACUGGGACUGAGACACGGCCCAGACUCCUACGGGAGGCAGCAGUGGGGAGUAUUGGACAAUGGGGGGAACCCUGAUCCAGCCAUGCCGCGUGUGUGAAGAAGGCCUUAUGGUUGUAAAGCACUUUAAGCGAGGAGGAGGCUACUGAGACUAAUACUCUUGGAUAGUGGACGUUACUCGCAGAAUAAGCACCGGCUAACUCUGUGCCAGCAGCCGCCGUAA